rnacentral:rRNA from 1 species
AUUGAACGCUGGCGGCAUGCCUUACACAUGCAAGUCGAACGGUAACAGGUCUUCGGAUGCUGACGAGUGGCGAACGGGUGAGUAAUACGUCGGAACGUGCCUAGUAGUGGGGAUAACUACUCGAAAGAGUGGCUAAUACCGCAUGUGAUCUACGGAUGAAAGCAGGGGAUCGCAAGACCUUGUGCUACUAGAGCGGCCGAUGGCAGAUUAGGUAGUUGGUGGGAUAAAAGCUUACCAAGCCGACGAUCUGUAGCUGGUCUGAGAGGACGAUCAGCCACACUGGGACUGAGACACGGCCCAGACUCCGACGGGAGGCAGCAGUGGGGAAUUUUGGACAAUGGGCGAAAGCCUGAUCCAGCAAUGCCGCGUGCAGGAUGAAGGCCUUCGGGUUGUAAACUGCUUUUGUACGGAACGAAAAGCCCCGGGUUAAUACCCUGGGGUCAUGACGGUACCGUAAGAAUAAGCACCGGCUAACUACGUGCCAGCAGCCGCGGUAA